UUAUUGUUUUUUUACGUUCUGUUUAUCUGUAGCAUUGGUGCAAUUUUUUCUGCUUUUCCCCUUUUUGUGAGUUUUUGCUUAUUCAUUGUAUCCUUAACUUGAUUUUCCAAAACAGUUCAUUUAAGGGGGUACACUAUGGGUCGCACGUUCGUUGUAGCAUUACAGAUACGAUACUUGCAUACUAAUUCCUGUUCCCUUCAUUUAACUCGCCAACUCAUUUUGCUUAAAUACUAUGGCUAAAACUCUUCAAAAAUUACUUUGACCAGGGCCGGACCCAGGGGUCCAGGGAUUGUUGGUUGCUAACCAAGGAACGAGAUACCGGCGGGAGGGGGUCUUGGAAACUAAAGUAGCAAAGUAAAACACUUUUAUUUUGUAAAAUAUGGCUGCUGUUACACUUAUUUAUCAGGGCUGGACCUCCUAAACAAAAAGUUAUAUCUCGGUCUUUGGUGCGUCACCCCUUGAUUUGGCAGGGCAAUAUUUGUUUGGGUCCCCAGACCCCUGCCUGGGCUGUGCCUCUUUGAGACUAUGUCAGAGGGAAUACGUCUCUCCCCUAUGCUGGAAUACGCGACAGACAAAGGCGCCUCUUCUCCUUAAAUGUUCUAUGUUUGAACCUGGCCCAAAUUAUAAGAAUGCGUGUGUAGAAUACUUGCGUCACAUGCGUCCAUUACAUUCUGUUUUUAUCUGAGACAAGAAAGCUCUUCAAGCCCUCUCAAAGCAAAAACAGCAUAGUAAAAUUAACAGCUGUCAUACGCAACCCGAGAAACACCAAAACAAUCAUUUUUGACCACCGUUUCUAGGCCAACUCACAAAUAUCGAGAUUUUAAGCUUAAGCGCAGAGUGUUACAAAUGAUUUCGACUAAAUGUGUCAACAAUUUUCAACAUACCUUGUCUCUCGCAGUGUAAAAUAAGUCCAUGGUUGCUUAGAAUAUGUUUGCAUGAGGUAUUUUCUCAGUUAGGUUUGGUAAAACAACUGAUUUUCAAACGCAAGUUUCAAGCAUUUGCUUUGAUGUCCAGGUUUUAAUCACAAGCUUUGUUUAAUAAAAUUGCAUUUUUCACUGUUAUUGUUUUUUCUUCGCAUAACUUUUGGUUGCCUUACUUAUCAUGCAGUUUUUCAUUCAGUCAGGUUUGCAAUCAAUUUUUCUCUCCAACCAAUCAAUCAAUCAACCUCUUUAAGCCACUUUUUCGUAUGUUAAUUAAUCUUAACCACACAAAAAUGAGGCCCCGGAGAAGGAGGUCUGUGCUCCCAUGGUCACUAAACAUUUUCGAAAAAUCUCCCUUCUUAACAAAUAUGUUUCUUGAAUGUUCCCUAAAACCUUUUCAAAUGUUCUUAAAAUGAUCCUCGAUAUAGAAAAUGGCAGGUUCCCAUGUUCCCCAUAACCCCUGAGAGGCCCUCAAAAAUAUACUCCUAUAACUAUCCGUAGAAUUCAUCGAUCUUAUAGUCCUUCCCACCCUUAUCGUGUCUCAGGGGUGUUGUAGGAAUUUUCAUAGGGCGGAAAAAUAAAGUUUUUAGGGGUAGAAAAUUUUGAUGCUGAUAGUUUCUUGUCAUCACUUACUAUAUGUUGGAAAUGAGUGUCGCAGAGACAGCUAGGGGCCUUACUUAACUUGUUUCUUCUCACAAAUCUGAUGUUGUAAAUGACAUAAGCUUAAAAGGAAGAAAAAUCCAAGAGGCCCACAUGAAAUGUUUUGAGAGGCCUAUCCCGAGUCCGCCUCUGUCGCGUAGAGACGAGUAUUUUGACCCUGGUCAAUUAGUCCCAGUCAUUGGCCUAUUUACAACUGUUUGUUAUACGAUCGCUGUUUUUUCAAGUUAUCAUGACUUGUUUUCUCAUUCAUCUGGCUGAAUCUUCCUUCUACUAAAAAUACUUUCAACAAUCAUCUGACCUCUCUUAAUCUAUUUUUAUAGAUGUGCCCUCCUAAAGAUAUAUCAUCUUUGCGUCUGCUUCUUAGAUUAAAGUUCUAUAGUAUGUUUUUAUGACAUAAGUUAGUGAUUCGCCUACUCUUUUCAUUAAUCCUCAAUAACAUUAGAUAUGGCAAACCAUUUAAUAUCAAAGUUAUGUCGGGAAAGACCGUUUAUUAGUUUCAUCUUUAACGUUUAUGAUUAAUAUUCAACUGAUAAAUUGUAGUGGUGGGUUCGCUAUAAAUAAUUUCUGGUAACUUAAUCUUUAAUUAAGCUCAGUCAAAGAAUUUCAAUGUGACAGCAUAACACUUAUAUUACAUUGUUUUCUGUCUUCUUUCCUUCUUUCUUGUUUUUGUCAAAACUCAUAUUCAUAAAAGGGGUAGAUGCUUAAACGGCAAAUUUAAAACGCCAGUCAAAUGAUCAUCUUGAUCCCCUCUUUAAUCCUUUGUCGCAUCUAUUUUCGAAUUGCCUCGUUCUCAGUUAUUAUCUUAUGGCAUCUCAUACUUAUCGCAUCAGAAUCUCCAGAAUUAUCAUACCAACUUAACGCCAAAAUGUAUGAGCUUCAAGCAAGGCCAUUUGUUUUAGAAUCUAGAGUCGUGUUUUCAGUUCUUGAAUCAGAGUAUGCUUGAUCCCCCUGUUUCUUCAGCCUUUGUCAAUCCAUUAUUUAUAAACACAAUUUUUACUGCCAUUUCUGCAAAAGGAAGAAACAUCUGUUCUGACUUGGCGGUGUUAGUUUCGAAGCAAGACUUUCGCGCAGAUAUAUGGACUUAGACCAAUUGUUUUUCAUAUUCCGUUGGCUUAUUAAUUUCACAGUAUUGCACUGCGUUGUUUUCGUGAAGGUUGUCCACGCAGAGCUUUUAAAAGCCGAAAGGAGUAGCCACUUCUCAUAAGAUGUCAAAGAUCAGAGGCUACGCGAUCAACCUAUUUGUCAAAGGGUUUUAGAUGACGAGCUAGAAAAUUUGCGCGAGUUCUAAAGGAAGAAGUUUUACGACAAAGUUUCCUCAUUUAUCGCAGUUCAUCUAAAAACCUGUCCAGACUUGAAGUUAAGAUGUCAAGAUAGACGUUUCAAGUCAAGGUGGCAAGUCUCCAAACAUUUAAGGUGGUAGCUAGCCAUCAGCUGAUUCACGUUGUGUUCAUUCUUUUUUGAAGGGAGACUGGAUAGUAAAGAGGUAUUAAGUGAGAAGUAUCAGGCAUAGAAUAUCCACGGGCAACAUGUUCUGAAUUGUUAUAGAUCCUUUAAAUCGGCAGUUUGUGCUUAUUUCAGAUCACGUCCAUCUUUUAUGUCUACGUGAUGAGAUGACAUAAACGUAAUGAUAUCGAUGUUCAUAGUGAUCCCACUUUUGGCUGGCGUUGGGGUUGCAAUCGUCAUCGUAAACUUGCUCACGUUAGCCACAAUAUUCUCGAGCCCCCAACUCCUAAAGCCUGCCAAUUACCCAAUUAUCAGCUUCCUUAUAACAGCUUUGAUACAAGGAUUCGUAGUCGUUCCGGCAUAUUGUAUAAAACGUUUAGACUUUUCCUAUAAACCAAAAUGGAUCUGCGAUGUGUUCCGCUUUCCGUAUUUUGUGUGCGGUCAUUUGCUGACAUUGAAUUUGGUCCUGGUAUGUGUCGAUCGCAUCAUCGCUAUCAGACUGCCACUGCGGUAUGAAUCGAUUGUCAAUCGCUUCACUAUGACAGUCGGUGUUGCAAUUGAAACAUUUUUGGUCGUUUUAGUUGAUCUUUUACCAUUCGGAAACGUUCCUGACCACGACGGUUGCGUGUAUAAUCCGUGGCCAUCGUGGAACGUGACCGUGAUAGUAUUAGCGAUUUUCGUGCCUUUU